rnacentral:rRNA from 1 species
GGCUCAGGAUGAACGCUGGCGGCGUGCUUAACACAUGCAAGUCGAACGAACCUUCGGGUUAGUGGCGGACGGGUGAGUAACGCGUGGGAAUCUGCCCUCAGGAGGGGGAUAACGGUUGGAAACGACCGCUAAUACCCCAUAUGCCGAGAGGUGAAAUGAAUUUCGCCUGAGGAUGAGCCCGCGUCUGAUUAGCUUGUUGGUGAGGUAAUGGCUCACCAAGGCAUCGAUCAGUAGCUGGUCUGAGAGGAUGAUCAGCCACACUGGGACUGAGACACGGCCCAGACUCCUACGGGAGGCAGCAGUGGGGAAUUUUCCGCAAUGGGCGAAAGCCUGACGGAGCAACGCCGCGUGAGGGACGAAGGCCUCUGGGCUGUAAACCUCUUUUCUCAAGGAAGAAGAUAUGACGGUACUUGAGGAAUAAGCCACGGCUAAUUCCGUGCCAGCAGCCGCGGUAAUACGGGAGUGGCAAGCGUUAUCCGGAAUUAUUGGGCGUAAAGCGUCCGCAGGCGGCCUUUCAAGUCUGCUGUUAAAACGUGGAGCUUAACUCCAUCAUGGCAGUGGAAACUGAUUGGCUUGAGUAUGGUAGGGGCAGAGGGAAUUCCCGGUGUAGCGGUGAAAUGCGUAGAUAUCGGGAAGAACACCAGUGGCGAAGGCGCUCUGCUGGGCCAUUACUGACGCUCAUGGACGAAAGCCAGGGGAGCGAAAGGGAUUAGAUACCCCUGUAGUCCUGGCCGUAAACGAUGAACACUAGGUGUCGGGGGAAUCGACCCCUUCGGUGUCGUAGCUAACGCGUUAAGUGUUCCGCCUGGGGAGUACGCACGCAAGUGUGAAACUCAAAGGAAUUGACGGGGGCUCGCACAAGCGGUGGAGUAUGUGGUUUAAUUCGAUGCAACGCGAAGAACCUUACCAGGGCUUGACAUCCUGCGAACCUUUAAGAAAUUAGAGGGUGCCUUCGGGAGCGCAGUGACAGGUGGUGCAUGGCUGUCGUCAGCUCGUGUCGUGAGAUGUUGGGUUAAGUCCCGCAACGAGCGCAACCCACGUUUUUAGUUGCCAGCAUUUAGUUGGGCACUCUAGAAAGACCGCCGGUGAUAAACCGGAGGAAGGUGUGGAUGACGUCAAGUCAUCAUGCCCCUUACGUCCUGGGCUACACACGUACUACAAUGCUACGGACAAAGGGCAGCAAACUCGCGAGAGCUAGCAAAUCCCAUAAACCGUGGCUCAGUUCAGAUCGUAGGCUGCAACUCGCCUACGUGAAGUAGGAAUCGCUAGUAAUCGCAGGUCAGCAUACUGCGGUGAAUACGUUCCCGAGCCUUGUACACACCGCCCGUCACACCAUGGAAGUUGGCCACGCCCGAAGUCGUUACUUUAACCCUUGUGGAGAAGGACGCCGAAGGUGGGGCUGAUGACUGGGGUGAAGUCGUAACAAGGUAGCCGUACCGGAAGGUGCGGCUGGAUCACCUCCUAA